rnacentral:misc_RNA from 1 species
GCUAGGUGUGUAUAUCAGCACAUUUUUAUAUGUUGUAAAUGAAACAUUAAUAUAUCACAAAUAAUUUAUGUCCUGUAACUUCUCCCAUCUGCUUGAUAUCUUGGGGACAUUGAUGAUGCAUCUUAUUUUUAAUGCUAAAAAUAUGCUCAUUUUUUAGAAUGAUUUGGCUUACUUUUUCCUUGUUAUAUAGAGUUUAAGCUGGACUGCGGUAGUGCUAUCAUUCUCUUAACAUUUGUGUGUUAUUCACUGAAUUUGGAUAAUUAAGAGCUAUAUUGGGAAGCUG